AGCACCGUACGCACUGGCGAAAGCGCGUGUAAAUGUAGCAGCGGUCGUCGAUAGCGAUUUAUGGACUUUUUUACGCAGCAGCAGCAGCAGACGGCGCGAGUUUAGAAUUUUGUUUUUGCAUUCCGUAACGGUUCAAGAUAUUUGAAUAAUUUCGUCGGUUUUUUUUUAUUUUAUUUUGGUGUUGUUUGAGUGUCUAUGAGUGUGUGCAUGUGUUAGUAGCAAGUGAUUAAAAGUGGAAUAGCAGCAAGAGAGAAAAAAAAAAUUAUAAAUGUCUUAAAAAAAUCUCAAAAAAAAAUAAAAUUAAUCCUCUUUAUGUCUUAAAAAUUAUUUGAUAAAAAAGGAAAAAUGAAAUCAGUAAACAAUUAUUGAA